rnacentral:rRNA from 1 species
CCGCCGCGGUAAGACGUAGGACGCGAGCGUUAUCCGGAAUUACUGGGCGUAAAGGGCCAGCAGGCGGCUUGGUAAGUUGUGCGUGAAAGCCUCGUGCUCAACGCGAGGAAGCCGGACAAUACUGUCAAGCUAGAGGGCAUCAGAGGGGAGUGGAAUUCCCGGAGUAGCGGUAAAAUGCGCAGAUAUCGGGAGGAACACCGAUGGCGAAGGCAGCUCCCUGGGAUGCACCUGACGCUAAGAGGCGAAAGCUAGGGGAGCGAACAGGAUUAGAGACCCUGGUAGUCCUAGCUGUAAACGCUGGGUGCUAGGUGUGGGACGUAGAAGUUCCGUGCCGGAGCAAACGCGAUAAGCACCCCGCCUGGGAAUUACGGUCGCAAGGCUAAAACUCAAACGAAUUGACGGGGCCCCGCACAAGCAGCGGAGCGUGUGGUUCAAUUCGAUGCUAUACGAAGAACCUUACCUGGGUUUGACAUGUACGUGGUACGAGGGCGAAAGCCUAAGGACCCUUCGGGGAGCGUACACAGGUGCUGCAUGGCUGUCGUCAGCUCGUGCCGUGAGGUGUCGGGUUAAGUCCCGUAACGAGCGCAACCCUUGCCCUUAGUUACAAGUGUCUAAGGGGACUGCCGGCGGGAAGCCGGAGGAAGGUGGGGAUGACGUCAAGUCAGCAUGGCCCUUAUGUCCAGGGCUACACACACGCUACAAUGGUCAGUACAAAGGGUAGCGAAGUCGCGAGGCGGAGCGAAUCUCAACAAAGCUGAUCGUAGUUCGGAUUGCAGGCUGCAACCCGCCUGCAUGAAGCUGGAGUUGCUAGUAACCGCGCGUCAGCCAUAGUGCGGUGAAUACGUACCCGGGGCUUGUACACACCGC